rnacentral:rRNA from 1 species
UACGUAGGGUGCGAGCGUUGUCCGGAAUUAUUGGGCGUAAAGAGCUUGUAGGCGGUUUGUCGCGUCUGCCGUGAAAGUCCGGGGCUCAACUCCGGAUCUGCGGUGGGUACGGGCAGACUAGAGUGCAGUAGGGGAGACUGGAAUUCCUGGUGUAGCGGUGAAAUGCGCAGAUAUCAGGAGGAACACCGAUGGCGAAGGCAGGUCUCUGGGCUGUAACUGACGCUGAGGAGCGAAAGCAUGGGGAGCGAACAGG